ACGUGAGCAACCUGCCCCUGACUCUGGGAUAAGCGCUGGAAACGGCGUCUAAUACUGGAUAUGUGACGUGACCGCAUGGUCUGCGUCUGGAAAGAAUUUCGGUUGGGGAUGGGCUCGCGGCCUAUCAGCUUGUUGGUGAGGUAAUGGCUCACCAAGGCGUCGACGGGUAGCCGGCCUGAGAGGGUGACCGGCCACACUGGGACUGAGACACGGCCCAGACUCCUACGGGAGGCAGCAGUGGGGAAUAUUGCACAAUGGGCGCAAGCCUGAUGCAGCAACGCCGCGUGAGGGACGACGGCCUUCGGGUUGUAAACCUCUUUUAGCAGGGAAGAAGCGAUAGUGACGGAACCUGCAGAAAAAGCGCCGGCUAACUACGUGCCAGCAGCCGCGGUAAUACGUAGGGCGCAAGCGUUAUCCGGAAUUAUUGGGCGUAAAGAGCUCGUAGGCGGUUUGUCGCGUCUGCUGUGAAAUCCGGAGGCUCAACCUCCGGCCUGCAGUGGGUACGGGCAGACUAGAGUGCGGUAGGGGAGAUUGGAAUUCCUGGUGUAGCGGUGGAAUGCGCAGAUAUCAGGAGGAACACCGAUGGCGAAGGCAGAUCUCUGGGCCGUAACUGACGCUGAGGAGCGAAAGGGUGGGGAGCAAACAGGCUUAGAUACCCUGGUAUCCACCCCGUAAACGUUGGAACUAGUUGUGGGGCCAUUCCACGGAUUCCGUGACGCAGCUAACGCAUUAAGUUCCCCGCCUGGGGAGUACGGCCGCCAGGCUAAAACUCAAAGGAAUUGACGGGGACCCGCACAGCGGCGGAGCAUGCGGAUAAUUCGAUGCACGCGAAAACCUUACCAGGCUUGACAUUAC
rnacentral:rRNA from 1 species